CAGCCGCGCGGUAAUACGGAGGAUCCAAGCGUUAUCCGGAAUCAUUGGGUUUAAAGGGUCCGUAGGCGGUCUUGUAAGUCAGUGGUGAAAGCCCAUCGCUCAACGGUGGAACGGCCAUUGAUACUGCAGGACUUGAAUUAUUGGGAAGUAACUAGAAUAUGUAGUGUAGCGGUGAAAUGCUUAGAGAUUACAUGGAAUACCAAUUGCGAAGGCAGGUUACUACCAAUUGAUUGACGCUGAUGGACGAAAGCGUGGGUAGCGAACAGGAUUAGAUACCCCUGUAGUCCCUGUCUCUUAUACA
rnacentral:rRNA from 1 species